CUCCCUGCUAAGAAGCGUGUGUGCUUGUACAAAGGCCGUUCAGCCUCGGGAUUUACACUCGGCUCGACACGGAUAUGUGAAGAAUGAAGGGACCCUGCAGCGAAACGGAGAGCCAACCUCUGACUGAGUGCCUGUUUACGCAGUCUGACCACCUGUUGAAGGGCUGUUUGAUGACGAUUUGGACUCCUCUGGGAGAUGAGGACACACCCACAUCUGUUCCAUACUGCAGCCAUGGAUGGUGUUACAGCUCUGAGUCAGCUUUGGGCCAUCAGACGCACACACUGGAAAACCAGCACCUUCAUGCAGGAGAGACGGCCUCAGUGAUAAUUAAUCAGCAGCUGUGAGGAGAUGCAUUUGAAUAUCUUCUGGUUCCACUUUUCCUAACCUGGAAGCUGAGGAUGGCUAAUUCCUGACAAGGACACAAACCUCAGCGCUUAUCAUGGGUGUUACAUCCUCCGUGCAGCAAUUCCAGAGAAAACGAGAGAGCAACGACCACUCAUUAAGACCAGCCAGAAAUCUGUCCCUUUCUGGCAUCAUAUGAGGAUAUUACAUUUUGACUUAAUUCUGCUCAAUUAAGUGUUUUGAUCGUUGAUCCAGUAUAGCAGCUUUGUGUUGUGCAGCAAGUUAAAACCCAUUGUCCUCACGAGCACAGCAUCUAACAACUCUCCUUAAAAAAACCGAAGGACUUUAACUGGACACAAUGGUUUCCAGUGGGAGAUACAUUCAUCACUCAUCCGUGACACUGGAGAAGUCACCUGGAUGAGUGAUAAAACAAUUUUCCAUGGAAAAUCCAGAGGAACUAAACUUUGUUGUUGUUUCUCUGGGCUCAAUUUCAGCCUCAGGAGCAUCUCUCAGAAGAAAACAUUUUGCCAAUAAUCAGAUAGAAAGAUUGUUGAACCAGGUGGUA